rnacentral:rRNA from 1 species
CGAACGGGUGAGUAACACGUGGGCAACCUGCCCAAAAGAGGGGGAUAACACUUGGAAACAGGUGCUAAUACCGCAUAACCAUAGUUACCGCACGGUAACUAUGUAAAAGGUGGCUAUGCUACCGCUUUUGGAUGGGCCCGCGGCGCAUUAGCUAGUUGGUGGGGUAAAGGCUUACCAAGGCAAUGAUGCGUAGCCGAACUGAGAGGUUGAUCGGCCACAUUGGGACUGAGACACGGCCCAAACNCCNNCGGGAGGCAGCAGUAGGGAAUCUUCCACAAUGGGCGAAAGCCUGAUGGAGCAACGCCGCGUGGGUGAAGAAGGUCUUCGGAUCGUAAAACCCUGUUGUUAGAGAAGAAAGUGCGUGAGAGUAACUGUUCACGUUUCGACGGUAUCUAACCAGAAAGCCACGGCUAACUACGUGCCAGCAGCCGCGGUAAUACGUAGGCGGCAAGCGUUAUCCGGAUAUAUUGGGCGUAAAGGGAACGCAGGCGGUCUUUUAAGUCUGAUGUGAAAGCCUUCGGCUUAACCGAAGUAGUGCAUUGGAAACUGGGAGACUUGAGUGCAGAAGAGGAGAGUGGAACUCCAUGUGUAGCGGUGAAAUGCGUAGAUAUAUGGAAGAACACCAGUGGCGAAAGCGGCUCUCUGGUCUGUAACUGACGCUGA